rnacentral:rRNA from 1 species
GGCCUAACACAUGCAAGUCGAGCGGAAACGAGUUAACUGAACCUUCGGGGGACGUUAACGGCGUCGAGCGGCGGACGGGUGAGUAAUGCCUAGGAAAUUGCCCUGAUGUGGGGGAUAACCAUUGGAAACGAUGGCUAAUACCGCAUGAUGCCUACGGGCCAAAGAGGGGGACCUUCGGGCCUCUCGCGUCAGGAUAUGCCUAGGUGGGAUUAGCUAGUUGGUGAGGUAAGGGCUCACCAAGGCGACGAUCCCUAGCUGGUCUGAGAGGAUGAUCAGCCACACUGGAACUGAGACACGGUCCAGACUCCUACGGGAGGCAGCAGUGGGGAAUAUUGCACAAUGGGCGCAAGCCUGAUGCAGCCAUGCCGCGUGUGUGAAGAAGGCCUUCGGGUUGUAAAGCACUUUCAGUCGUGAGGAAGGUAGUGUAGUUAAUAGCUGCAUUAUUUGACGUUAGCGACAGAAGAAGCACCGGCUAACUCCGUGCCAGCAGCCGCGGUAAUACGGAGGGUGCGAGCGUUAAUCGGAAUUACUGGGCGUAAAGCGCAUGCAGGUGGUUUGUUAAGUCAGAUGUGAAAGCCCGGGGCUCAACCUCGGAAUAGCAUUUGAAACUGGCAGACUAGAGUACUGUAGAGGGGGGUAGAAUUUCAGGUGUAGCGGUGAAAUGCGUAGAGAUCUGAAGGAAUACCGGUGGCGAAGGCGGCCCCCUGGACAGAUACUGACACUCAGAUGCGAAAGCGUGGGGAGCAAACAGGAUUAGAUACCCUGGUAGUCCACGCCGUAAACGAUGUCUACUUGGAGGUUGUGGCCUUGAGCCGUGGCUUUCGGAGCUAACGCGUUAAGUAGACCGCCUGGGGAGUACGGUCGCAAGAUUAAAACUCAAAUGAAUUGACGGGGGCCCGCACAAGCGGUGGAGCAUGUGGUUUAAUUCGAUGCAACGCGAAGAACCUUACCUACUCUUGACAUCCAGAGAACUUUCCAGAGAUGGAUUGGUGCCUUCGGGAACUCUGAGACAGGUGCUGCAUGGCUGUCGUCAGCUCGUGUUGUGAAAUGUUGGGUUAAGUCCCGCAACGAGCGCAACCCUUAUCCUUGUUUGCCAGCGAGUAAUGUCGGGAACUCCAGGGAGACUGCCGGUGAUAAACCGGAGGAAGGUGGGGACGACGUCAAGUCAUCAUGGCCCUUACGAGUAGGGCUACACACGUGCUACAAUGGCGCAUACAGAGGGCGGCCAACUUGCGAAAGUGAGCGAAUCCCAAAAAGUGCGUCGUAGUCCGGAUUGGAGUCUGCAACUCGACUCCAUGAAGUCGGAAUCGCUAGUAAUCGUGGAUCAGAAUGCCACGGUGAAUACGUUCCCGGGCCUUGUACACACCGCCCGUCACACCAUGGGAGUGGGCUGCAAAAGAAGUAGGUAGUUUAACCUUCGGGGGGACGCUUACCACUUUGUGGUUCAUGACUGGGGUGAAGUCGUAACA